rnacentral:miRNA from 1 species
AAUAGUAAUUGUGGAUUUUGUC